rnacentral:rRNA from 1 species
AUUGAACGCUGGCGGCAGGCCUAACACAUGCAAGUCGAGCGGUAGAGAGAAGCUUGCUUCUCUUGAGAGCGGCGGACGGGUGAGUAAUGCCUAGGAAUCUGCCUGGUAGUGGGGGAUAACGUUCGGAAACGGACGCUAAUACCGCAUACGUCCUACGGGAGAAAGCAGGGGACCUUCGGGCCUUGCGCUAUCAGAUGAGCCUAGGUCGGAUUAGCUAGUUGGUGGGGUAAUGGCUCACCAAGGCGACGAUCCGUAACUGGUCUGAGAGGAUGAUCAGUCACACUGGAACUGAGACACGGUCCAGACUCCUACGGGAGGCAGCAGUAGGGAAUAUUGGACAAUGGGCGAAAGCCUGAUCCAGCCAUGCCGCGUGUGUGAAGAAGGUCUUCGGACUGUAAAGCACUUUAAGUUGGGAGGAAGGGCAGUAAAUUAAUACUUUGCUGUUUUGACGUUACCGACAGAAUAAGCACCGGCUAACUCUGUGCCAGCAGCCGCGGUAA